AUGGAGGACAAUGAUUGCUUCAACACCGCCGUGCGUAUACUGGCAUGUGAAGAGGGAGUAUUGUUCACGGACCCUCAUAUACACUACAUGGAUCUAAGAUUUUGUUCCAUGAUGCUAGAGGCAACACGAGGUCAGAAGUUUUGCGAGAAGGAAACUAUCCAGUCGCUGGCAACAUUAUUUGAUAGCUGGCCUGGGAUGGACAACAACAUCUCAUCGUGCAACAUGAUUUAUCUUUCCUAUGCAUCCAUUGGCCGAUACAUCUUGUAUGUCAUCGACAAAGAGGCAUGUCGUCUAUAUAUUAUGGACUCUAUUCAAACAUCACAAUUGUCAAAGGAUAAAAAUUUGAGGCAUGCACUGAAAUUUAAAAGUUUUGCAAGGGAUUUCAAAGAAGCGCUCGAAAUAAAGCUGCAUGGUUGGAAUUCUGAUAUAUCUAAAUGA
rnacentral:rRNA from 1 species